UACGUGGGGGGCUAGCGUUGUCCGGAAUCAUUGGGCGUAAAGAGCGUGUAGGCGGCCCGGUAAGUCCGCUGUGAAAGUCGGGGGCUCAACCCUCGAAUGCCGGUGGAUACUGUCGGGCUAGAGUGCGGAAGAGGCGAGUGGAAUUCCUGGUGUAGAGGUGAAAUUCGUAGAUAUUCGGCGGAACACCAGUGGCGAAGGCGACUCACUGGCCCGAUACUGACGCUGAGGCGCGAAAGCGUGGGGAGCAAACAGG
rnacentral:rRNA from 1 species